GACCACGUUGCUCAGUUGGUAAAGCAUUGGACUAGUAUCCCAAAGGUCGCGGGUUCGAUUCCCACCGUGGCCA
rnacentral:tRNA from 1 species